rnacentral:misc_RNA from 1 species
GGGGUCUUUGCAAAUUGGCCUUUUUAAGCUAGUCAAAUUACAUCUUGGUCCCUUACAUCUUCUGGAAUAACUAAAAACCCGGAGUUGGUUUCAUUCCUGAGUCCACCUCCUCCUUGUUCUAUUCUGCUGUUGGAAAUUUGAAAAAGGAAAUUAAAAAAAAAAACUAUGGAAGCAAAGAUAGGCAAAUUCUUCGAGUCCGUCAGCAACUUCUUCACCGGCGCCGAUCAGAUCCCGUGGUGCGACCGCGACAUCGUCGCUGUUAGUUUUUUUUCCCUUGAUUCUAGCGAAUGAUUUUGGUAUACCUUUGCCUUCUAUGCAAUUCGAAUCUGUAUGAUUAAGUUCAAAAUUUCCUCUUUCUACAACCGAGGUUUUGAUGAUGAUGGCAAUUAGGGUUUCAGUGAAAUUGCAUAUUCCUCUAUUAGUUAUUAUUUUAGGAUAAUUUUUUUUAGUUUAAUAAACAAAGCUAUGGUUCUGCCAAUUACUUGAUUGCUUUUAGUUGAAAAUCGCCAUAUGGGGCUUUCUAGAUGAUAUCAAUAUGAACUGCUAAAAGAGUCUUUGGACUCUGGUUAUGAGCCUAGAGACCUAUGAAAGUAAGCUCUACCAUCAUUUUCAGUUUCUGUUGUUUAAAGCUACGAAGGAAUGCUCUCUUAUUUUUAGGAAUCAAUACGACCUUGACUAUUUUGGAACUACUACCUGUUUCAUGUUAAUUAAUUCUUAGUUUUGUUGGUUUCUGAACUAGUAUUGAUAAUUUAUGCAAGGUCUGCGAUGCAUCCCUAAUAAAAAGGAAGGGUUCUUUUAGUAUUAGCAUUUGACCAUAGGAAUGGAAUGUAUAGUUGCUCAGACAUUCAUAAGAUCUAUUCCAACCCCCUCCCUCUCAUUUGCUUCUUUUGGAUGUUAUGUUGAAAAUCAUAUUUACAUUUUAAUAGAUAUUCAAUUUGCCUUUUCUAUCAUCUUUUUUUACUAUCAUAAGACAACAUCAUGGGCUUGGGAGAUCGUAAUGAGAUAGCCAUUAGUAAUAAAUUAUUCCCUUUGCAGUGUUCUGAAAGACUGAAACCUCUUGUGUGGUUUUGAGUUUUGACUAUCUGGACAUGGAAGCUGCUUUUUCUGGUUCUUGUUGGUUGUCUUAAUAAAUGCUGCUUAGUUGCUCCACCAACAUACACCUUUUGUUGUUGAUAAUAAUGUUGUUGUUGUUGUGUGUGUGUUUGUUUUAACGAGCUGGAUAGUUAAUAGGUUAUAUUUUGUCUCAUGAUGCUGCAUUCCGUUCCACUUAUGUUUUGUACACCAGAGGCUUUAGUCACAGUCAUGUCACACUCCAUACUUGAUUUUGUAUGUACAAUCUAAUUAUAUCCUUUUAACUUGGUGUAUCCACAGGGAUGUGAGCAAGAGGUUAUUGAAGCUGAAAAAGGUUCCUCUGAUGAGUUUAAGAAUGAAUGCAUCAUGCGUCUGUCGUGGGCUCUUGUGCAUUCAAGACAACCAGAAGAUGUACAUCGUGGCAUGGCAAUGCUGGAAU